rnacentral:misc_RNA from 1 species
GAUGAAGAACGUAGCGAAAUGCGAUAAGUAAUGUGAAUUGCAGAAUUCAGUGAAUCAUCGAAUCUUUGAACGCACAUUGCGCCCGCUAGUAUUCUGGCGGGCAUGCCUGUUCGAGCGUCAUUUCAACCCUCAGAUCUUCUUCGGGAGAACUGGUGUUGGAGAUCGGCUGCUGUAAAGUAGCCGUCUCCCAAAUAGAGUGGCAGUCUCGCUGUAGCCUCCUCUGCGUAGUACUAUACCUCGCUCUGGAAAUAUAGUGUGAUUAAGCCGUUAAACCCCCCCUAUUUUCUUUGGUUGACCUCGGAUCAGGUAGGAAUACCCGCUGAACUUAAGCAUAUCAAUAAGCGGAGGA